rnacentral:rRNA from 1 species
UACGUAGGGUGCGAGCGUUGUCCGGAAUUACUGGGCGUAAAGAGCUCGUAGGUGGUUUGUCGCGUUGUUCGUGAAAACUCACAACUCAAUUGUGGGCGUGCGGGCGAUACGGGCAGACUGGAGUACUGCAGGGGAGACUGGAAUUCCUGGUGUAGCGGUGGAAUGCGCAGAUAUCAGGAGGAACACCGGUGGCGAAGGCGGGCCUCUGGGCAGUAACUGACGCUGAGGAGCGAAAGCGUGGGGAGCGAACAGG